rnacentral:rRNA from 1 species
AUGCAGUCGACGGUAACAGACGGAAGCUUGCUUCUGUGCUGACGAGUGGCGGACGGGUGAGUAAUGCAUAGGAAUCUACCCAGUAGUGGGGGAUAACGUGGAGAAAUCCACGCUAAUACCGCAUAUGUUCUACGGAACAAAGCAGGGGACCUUCGGGCCUUGCGCUAUUGGAUGAGCCUAUGUUGGAUUAGCUUGUUGGUAGGGUAAAAGCCUACCAAGGCAACGAUCCAUAGCUGGUCUGAGAGGAUGAUCAGCCACACUGGGACUGAGACACGGCCCAGACUCCUACGGGAGGCAGCAGUGGGGAAUAUUGCACAAUGGGCGCAAGCCUGAUGCAGCAAUGCCGCGUGUGUGAAGAAGGCCUGCGGGUUGUAAAGCACUUUUAUUAGGAAAGAAAAACCCGGAGUUAAUACCUCCGGUCUUGACGGUACCUAAAGAAUAAGCACCGGCUAACUCAGUGCCAGCAGCCGCGGUAAUACG